rnacentral:rRNA from 1 species
UUAAGUGACUAAGCGUACAAGGUGGAUGCCUUGGCAAUCAGAGGCGAAGAAGGACGUGCUAAUCUGCGAAAAGCUUGGAUGAGUCGAUAAGAGGCGUUUAAUCCAAGAUAUCCGAAUGGGGAAACCCAGUAGAUGAAGAAUCUACUAUCAACAAGUGAAUUCAUAGCUUGUUGAGGCAAACCGGGAGAACUGAAACAUCUAAGUACCCCGAGGAAAAGAAAUCAACCGAGAUUUCGUCAGUAGCGGCGAGCGAAAGCGAAAGAGCCAGUAAGUGAUAGCAGUAUAGUGAGGAGAAUGUGUUGGGAAGCACAAUCAAAGAGGGUGAUAAUCCCGUAUCUAAAAACCAUAUUGUGGUACUAAGCUAACGAGAAGUAGGGCGGGACACGUGAUAUCCUGUUUGAAGAAGGGGGGACCAUCCUCCAAGGCUAAAUACUCCUGAUUGACCGAUAGUGAACCAGUACUGUGAAGGAAAGGCGAAAAGAACCCCGGUGAGGGGAGUGAAAUAGAACCUGAAACCUUGUACGUACAAGCAGUGGGAGCCCCAUCACUUAAUCCGAUUGGAAGGUGAUGAAAAGCAACCGCAUUUAAACAAUGGUAAGAGGAGCGAAGCGAGUCAAACCACCCAAAAGAAGCAGUGGGAUUAAGUGAUGGGGUGACUGCGUACCUUUUGUAUAAUGGGUCAGCGACUUAUAUUUUGUAGCGAGGUUAACUGAAUAGGGGAGCCGAAGGGAAACCGAGUCUUAACUGGGCGAGUAGUUGCAAGGUAUAGACCCGAAACCCGGUGAUCUAGCCAUGGGCAGGUUGAAGGUUGGGUAACACUAACUGGAGGACCGAACCGACUAAUGUUGAAAAAUUAGCGGAUGACUUGUGGCUGGGGGUGAAAGGCCAAUCAAACCGGGAGAUAGCUGGUUCUCCCCGAAAUCUAUUUAGGUAGAGCCUUGAGGUGACACCUUUGGGGGUAGAGCACUGUUUCGGCUAGGGGGCCAUCCCGGCUUACCAACCCGAUGCAAACUACGAAUACCAAAGAGUGAUACUCAGGAGACACACGGCGGGUGCUAACGUCCGUCGUGGAGAGGGAAACAACCCAGACCGCCAGCUAAGGUCCCCAAGUCUAUAUUAAGUGGGAAACGAAGUGGGAAGGCUUAGACAGCUAGGAUGUUGGCUUAGAAGCAGCCAUCAUUUAAAGAAAGCGUAAUAGCUCACUAGUCGAGUCGGCCUGCGCGGAAGAUGUAACGGGGCUGAAAUAUAGCACCGAAGCUGCGGCAUCAGAAUUUAUUCUGUUGGGUAGGGGAGCGUUGUGUAAGCGGAAGAAGGUUCAUCGAGAGGUGGGCUGGACGUAUCACAAGUGCGAAUGCUGACAUAAGUAACGAUAAAACGGGUGAAAAACCCGUUCGCCGGAAGACCAAGGGUUCCUGUCCAACGUUAAUCGGGGCAGGGUGAGUCGGCUCCUAAGGCGAGGCUGAAAAGCGUAGUCGAUGGGAAACAGGUUAAUAUUCCUGUACUUGGUAAAGCUGCGAUGUGGGGACGGAGUAGGUUAGGUUAUCGCACUGUUGGAUAUGUGCGUUUAAGUUGGUAGGUGGGAAGUUUAGGCAAAUCCGGACUUCCUUAACACAGAGAGAUGAUGACGAGGCUCUACGGAGCUGAAGUAACUGAUACCACACUUCCAGGAAAAGCCACUAAGCGAAAGGCUUUACUAAACCGUACUGAAAACCGACACAGGUGGUCAGGUAGAGAAUACUCAGGCGCUUGAGAGAACUCGGGUGAAGGAACUAGGCAAAAUAGCACCGUAACUUCGGGAGAAGGUGCGCCGGCGUAGAUUGUAAGGGCUAGCCCCUGAAGGUUGAACCGGUCGAAGAUACCAGCUGGCUGCAACUGUUUAUUAAAAACACAGCACUCUGCAAACACGAAAGUGGACGUAUAGGGUGUGAUGCCUGCCCGGUGCUGGAAGGUUAAUUGAUGGUGUAAUCGAAAGAGAAGCACCUGAUCGAAGCCCCAGUAAACGGCGGCCGUAACUAUAACGGUCCUAAGGUAGCGAAAUUCCUUGUCGGGUAAGUUCCGACCUGCACGAAUGGCAUAAUGAUGGCCAGGCUGUCUCCACCCGAGACUCAGUGAAAUUGAAAUCGCCGUGAAGAUGCGGUGUACCCGCGGCUAGACGGAAAGACCCCGUGAACCUUUACUAUAGCUUGACACUGAACAUUGAAUUUUGAUGUGUAGGAUAGGUGGGAGACUUAGAAGUAGGAACGCCAGUUUCUAUGGAGUCAUCCUUGAAAUACCACCCUUUAACGUUUGAUGUUCUAACGAAGAUGACGAAACGUGGUCUCGGACAGUGUCUGGUGGGUAGUUUGACUGGGGCGGUCUCCUCCCAAAGCGUAACGGAGGAGCACGAAGGUUUGCUAAUCACGGUCGGACAUCGUGAGGUUAGUGCAAUGGUAUAAGCAAGCUUAACUGCGAGACAGACAAGUCGAGCAGGUACGAAAGUAGGUCAUAGUGAUCCGGUGGUUCUGAAUGGAAGGGCCAUCGCUCAACGGAUAAAAGGUACUCCGGGGAUAACAGGCUGAUACCGCCCAAGAGUUCAUAUCGACGGCGGUGUUUGGCACCUCGAUGUCGGCUCAUCACAUCCUGGGGCUGAAGUAGGUCCCAAGGGUAUGGCUGUUCGCCAUUUAAAGUGGUACGCGAGCUGGGUUUAGAACGUCGUGAGACAGUUCGGUCCCUAUCUGCCGUGGGCGUAGGAGAAUUGGUUGGGGCUGCUCCUAGUACGAGAGGACCGGAGUGGACGCACCACUGGUGUUCCGGUUGUGUCGCCAGACGCAUUGCCGGGUAGCUAAGUGCGGAAGAGAUAAGUGCUGAAAGCAUCUAAGCACGAAACUUGCCAAGAGAUGAGUUCUCCCAAUCUAAGAGAUUGUAAGGGUUGUUGUAGACUACGACGUAGAUAGGUCUGGUGUGUAAGUGUAGUGAUGCAUUGAGCUAACAGAUACUAAUUGCCCGAGAGGCUUAACU